UGAAAAAGCAAUCGUAGCUCAAAGGGU
rnacentral:piRNA from 1 species